CUGGUCGAGUCGGCCUGCGCGGAAGAUGUAACGGGGCUAAACCAUGCACCGAAGCUGCGGCAGCGACGCUGAUGCGUUGUUGGGUAGGGGAGCGUUCUGUAAGCCUGCGAAGGUGGCCUGUGAGGGUUGCUGGAGGUAUCAGAAGUGCGAAUGCUGACAUAAGUAACGAUAAAGCGGGUGAAAAGCCCGCUCGCCGGAAGACCAAGGGUUCCUGUCCAACGUUAAUCGGGGCAGGGUGAGUCGACCCCUAAGGCGAGGCCGAAAGGCGUAGUCGAUGGGAAACGGGUUAAUAUUCCCGUACUUGGUGUUACUGCGAAGGGGGGACGGAGAAGGCUAUGUUGGCCGGGCGACGGUUGUCCCGGUUUAAGCGUGUAGGUGUGUGUUCCAGGUAAAUCCGGUUCACUUUAACACUGAGGCGUGAUGACGAGGCACUACGGUGCUGAAGCAACAAAUGCCCUGCUUCCAGGAAAAGCCUCUAAGCAUCAGGUAACAUCAAAUCGUACCCCAAACCGACACAGGUGGUCAGGUAGAGAAUACCAAGGCGCUUGAGAGAACUCGGGUGAAGGAACUAGGCAAAAUGGUGCCGUAACUUCGGGAGAAGGCACGCUGACACGUAGGUGAAGUGAUUUACUCAUGGAGCUGAAGUCAGUCGAAGAUACCAGCUGGCUGCAACUGUUUAUUAAAAACACAGCACUGUGCAAACACGAAAGUGGACGUAUACGGUGUGACGCCUGCCCGGUGCCGGAAGGUUAAUUGAUGGGGUCAGCGCAAGCGAAGCUCCUGAUCGAAGCCCCGGUAAACGGCGGCCGUAACUAUAACGGUCCUAAGGUAGCGAAAUUCCUUGUCGGGUAAGUUCCGACCUGCACGAAUGGCGUAAUGAUGGCCAGGCUGUCUCCACCCGAGACUCAGUGAAAUUGAACUCGCUGUGAAGAUGCAGUGUACCCGCGGCAAGACGGAAAGACCCCGUGAACCUUUACUAUAGCUUGACACUGAACAUUGAGCCUUGAUGUGUAGGAUAGGUGGGAGGCUUUGAAGUGUGGACGCCAGUCUGCAUGGAGCCGACCUUGAAAUACCACCCUUUAAUGUUUGAUGUUCUAACGUGGACCCGUGAUCCGGGUUGCGGACAGUGUCUGGUGGGUAGUUUGACUGGGGCGGUCUCCUCCUAAAGAGUAACGGAGGAGCACGAAGGUUGGCUAAUCCUGGUCGGACAUCAGGAGGUUAGUGCAAUGGCAUAAGCCAGCUUGACUGCGAGCGUGACGGCGCGAGCAGGUGCGAAAGCAGGUCAUAGUGAUCCGGUGGUUCUGAAUGGAAGGGCCAUCGCUCAACGGAUAAAAGGUACUCCGGGGAUAACAGGCUGAUACCGCCCAAGAGUUCAUAUCGACGGCGGUGUUUGGCACCUCGAUGUCGGCUCAUCACAUCCUGGGGCUGAAGUAGGUCCCAAGGGUAUGGCUGUUCGCCAUUUAAAGUGGUACGCGAGCUGGGUUUAGAACGUCGUGAGACAGUUCGGUCCCUAUCUGCCGUGGGCGCUGGAGAACUGAGGGGGGCUGCUCCUAGUACGAGAGGACCGGAGUGGACGCAUCACUGGUGUUCGGGUUGUCAUGCCAAUGGCACUGCCCGGUAGCUAAAUGCGGAAGAGAUAAGUGCUGAAAGCAUCUAAGCACGAAACUUGCCCCGAGAUGAGUUCUCCCUGAGACUUUAGGUCUCCUGAAGGAACGUUGAAGACGACGACGUUGAUAGGCCGGGUGUGUAAGCGCAGCGAUGCGUUGAGCUAACCGGUACUAAUGAACCGUGAGGCUUAACCUUACA
rnacentral:rRNA from 1 species